CUUAUCUCAAAGUAGUUAAAUGAUAGCUAUCUGUACAUUUUAAACUACAUCUCAAAUUUGGAGAUGACAUAAUAAGAAAGCAAAGAAUUUUCAUGGUUGGACAAAUAUUACAUAUUUUGUUCUCUACAGAGAGGCUUUUUCAAGCCUUUAUCUCUUUGAGGCCCGAGUAACUGGUUGGAAGAUAGGCUCGCAUAUUUAUGUGAAAACUGUCAGGACUAGCUGACUCAGUUCAGCUUCCAUUUGGCCCCAAGUCAGGGGCUCUCUGACCAGAGUUGCUGCAUUGGUUCUUAAAAUGCAACAAAGGGUACAGCUGGGGGGCUUUUUAAACUGGUGAAUAUUCUCAGCAGUGCAAGUCAGUGUUAUUGAUGCUCCUCCCAAUACCGUGAUGAAGGGGGAGAUGGAAAGAGACAACAGGAUGGGAAAGAAAGAGAAGAGAAAGUGUCCCCUGCUAGUGACAGCACAUCAGGAGGACGUGUCAUGGCUCCAUCAGCUACAAUGCAACUCAGUAAGGAGGACAUGCCUCCACAUGUAUGAUGGUGGGCAUUCUCUCUUCUUAAUUGAUUGUGAUCCGUGCUCUCCCUUGCACAAUUUGAACAGUGCUGUCAAAAUUAAUCUAUUCAGUUCAUUAAAGUCUUCUAUCCUUAAUUUUUAUGUUGAGAUUUGACAGAAUGAUAACUAAUGGGAAUUAUUAAAAUGAGAAUGAUUUUCUUCUGCUUAUAUAAAAGUUACUAAUGACAUUCAGAGACGAUUUUUGAUUUGUUAAAGAAAAAAUCAAUUUAAAUUUAAUUUUAUGUGACUAGGAAAGAUCAGAAAUAUUUCAGUUGCAUUUUCCCUGAAUUAAUUGCUUAUGCAGAGAACUUGCAUUCUCGCCAUGACAAAGUAGUUUCUGCAUUUAUGUUUUGUCCCAAAUCCUAACAUCCAGAUUGAAAAAAUGUAUUUCUUAGCUGAUAUCUUCUGUGGCUUAUCCUCAAGAAAAUAGUUUUUGUCAUGGGCAAUUUUGUAUAGUCUCUUUGGUAUGUCUAGAAAACAUAUCAUCUAAUCCUGUUAUUUAGUUGAAAAUCAACAAUGAGGACAAGACCAUUGUGAUACUAUCAGACAGUAACUUUCACAAAGCAUGAAUUAGAAGAUCUAUCAAAAUUUGCUUUUCAAGACAUAGGAGCUUUUAAUGUUUUGCAUUCACCCAGCAAAAUUCCUAUCUCAUGUACAACCACUCUUUUGAGUACCAUUUGAUAUUCCCAAAGUUUUGAGUAUGAACUGAAUCUUCCUAUGUGAAUGAAGUUGAAAAUCUCACAAUUGGUUGUGUGACUUAUAGUCAUAAACAUCAGGGAUGACGAAUAAAUGCAACUUUAUUUAUUUUUUAAUUCUGAAU
rnacentral:lncRNA from 12 species